rnacentral:rRNA from 1 species
CCUACGGGAGGCAGCAGUGGGGAAUAUUGGGCAAUGGGCGCAAGCCUGACCCAGCAACGCCGCGUGAAGGAAGAAGGCUUUCGGGUUGUAAACUUCUUUUCUCAGGGACGAAGAAAGUGACGGUACCUGAGGAAUAAGCCACGGCUAACUACGUGCCAGCAGCCGCGGUAAGACGUAGGUGGCAAGCGUUAUCCGGAUUUACUGGGUGUAAAGGGCGUGUAGGCGGGAAAGCAAGUCAGAUGUGAAAACCAUGGGCUCAACCUGUGGCCUGCAUUUGAAACUGUUUGUCUUGAGUACUGGAGAGGCAGACAGAAUUCCUGGUGUAGCGGUGAAAUGCGUAGAUAUUAGGAGGAACACCAGUGGCGAAGGCGGCCCGCUGGACAGCAACUGACGCUGAGGCGCGAAAGCGUGGGGAGCAAACAGGAUUAGAUACCCCAGUAGUC